CAGGUAGGCCACGCCCAUCGGCACCACUUGGCAGAGCUUCCUGUGGAGCGGGUACGGCCGCCGGAAACGAAGCUUCGCAUAACAGCAGGCGGCGCAGGAGAACCAGGCGAGGAGGGCGGCGGCCGGGAGGAAGACCUGCGAGAAAAUGGCAUCAUGAGAACAUCUGAACGCCUCGGCUGAGGACGGAUGUAAGUCACUUUAACGCACCUGUCCCAGCAUGCUUUGUGUCCAGGCACUGUCGGAGCUGUAUAGGCACAGAGCCAGAGCGCAGCCAUACUGGUAGACGGCCACGCCCACGUAGUCCAGGAAGAACAGCGAGUAAUGCGCCUGCUCCGAGCGGGACUGCAACAGCUCAGGUAUGUGACAGCGGAGAAGACAUAGUGAACCAGAGGCAGCGAGGAGACGUCCACAGAAAACCCCUGACCCUCUGGACCCUGGAGCCGAAAACCCAGUAUCCCCUGUGGAGGUCAAAGAACGGUGAACGCCAUGAACCUCAGCGCCACGCAGACGGCAGCCAGCAGGUGGCUCCACACGUUCAGAGUCUCGUUGUGGAUCUGGAAGAGGCUGAGGACGUAACAGCGCCACGACAGGCCCACGGGACGGUACCCAGACAGGAUGAACCGCUCCCUAAACAGAGGGGGGACGUCCACGUCUCGGACGGUCGGGGGAAGGGAGGGGAGGAGGCGGUCCAGCAGAGGAAGGAAGGUGAGGCACAGCGAGGGAGGGACGAACGACACCUGAGGCAUGAUGGGAGAGGAUCCUGAGUUUGUCUCGUUGCUUGUUGUUUUGUACGAAGCUGAAACAAUUCAAAGAAAUUCAUUAAAAUACAAAACAGGCAGGUGAUGGGUAACACAGGUACGUUGGUGGUUACACAGGUACGUUGGUGGUUAGGUGGUUCGACAGGUACGU